rfam:Clostridium sp. KLE 1755 genomic scaffold Scaffold45, whole genome shotgun sequence.
CCGUGCAGCCGGGGGAUUAGCGGUCUCCUGUACCUGAAAUCCGCUAUAGCAGGGGUGAUGUCCGGCCGAGGGCUUGUGCCUGUGUGGCUGCCCUUUAUAAGUGGCGUUGAAGUUUGGGUCUUACGCAACGGAUGUCUGCGAACCGUGUCAGGUUGGGAACAAAGCAGCACUAAGCAGAAUUUUCCGUGUGCCGUGAGGGUGCCUGGCGGAGUUAACUGUAAAGGUAACGCAUAUGGGUUUGUGUUCGAAGCAGGACGCACGG